rnacentral:rRNA from 1 species
GAUGAACGCUGGCGGCGUGCCUAAUACAUGCAAGUCGAGCGAACGGACGAGGAGCUUGCUCCUCUGACGUUAGCGGCGGACGGGUGAGUAACACGUGGAUAACCUACCUAUAAGACUGGGAUAACUUCGGGAAACCGGAGCUAAUACCGGAUAAUAUAUUGAACCGCAUGGUUCAAUAGUGAAAGACGGUUUUGCUGUCACUUAUAGAUGGAUCCGCGCCGCAUUAGCUAGUUGGUAAGGUAACGGCUUACCAAGGCAACGAUGCGUAGCCGACCUGAGAGGGUGAUCGGCCACACUGGAACUGAGACACGGUCCAGACUCCUACGGGGGGCAGCAGUAGGGAAUCUUCCGCAAUGGGCGAAAGCUUGACGGAGCAACGCCGCGUGAGUGAUGAAGGUCUUCGGAUCGUAAAACUCUGUUAUUAGGGAAGAACAAAUGUGUAAGUAACUAUGCACGUCUUGACGGUACCUAAUCAGAAAGCCACGGCUAACUACGUG